GAAGCCUACUAAUUUAUGAACAAAGCAGGUAUUUACAGACCCCUUCAGCCUCAGUAUUUCUUUUGAAACUUACUCUCCAGACCAGAUGGACUGGCUACCCAUCAUAACCAUUCAAGAGGGCAGGAAGUAUAAACUCUGAGUGGAGGAUCCUCAAUCAAAUAGGUAAAUAAUAUCUUUGGCACACAAAGCCUUUCCUUCCAGAGCAAAGAAGACUGGAAGCAAUGAUUGGAUGUUAAUUCACAAGGAAAGCAGAGGCCUGGAAGGGUUAUACAAAAGUAUUGACCAACAGCCAGGAAUCCUGACCUACAAGAACCUGAAAUUUUAAGAUAUCAGCAAUAACAGGGUCAUCUGAAAACAGAAGAUUUUAAGAUGUCUUUUGGCCCCAAGACUGCCAGAAGGGGAGGAGCUCUGCGUUACUGCAAACCCAUGCUUGCUGCAUCUUGCCACUGAAAAAUGGAAUUCCCCACCAGCACAGGCUCCUUCUCAAACAUUAAAACCACAGUUUACCUAAAACUCACCCUUAACUCUUAGAAUGGUUUAUGCGAUAUAACCUCACUAACCUUCUCUAACUUCACUGGGGUCAGAAGACAUCAAGCAA